AUGAGUUGAAGUCAAACAGACAGAACCAGGGUUCCACAGUGAGGGCAUUGCAUUUUACACCGAAAGACCUCAGCAUGGAUUGGAGAGCUUCAAAAAAGCUGGCAGGUGAAGGUGUUAUGUGUGUCCUCAUCCACCUUAUUGGCCAGGUUUGGCGCUAUACAACUUCUGGCUCUUCCCCAAAGUCAAAAUUACCACAAAAGGUAAACUGGAGCUCAGCCAGGCUGACGUGCCCACGGUUCUGCUGCUGGAAAUUGUAACCUCUGUAGAAAGGACAGAACUCACACCUGGGUCUCACUCUGUCCAAAUAAGCUAGACUUUUUCCCCAACUACACACUUGUAAGAUAAAAGCACCUUUGCUUCAUUUUGGCAUUCCUAUGGUGUUUUGGGCUGUGUGAAUAAAUUCUGUUUUUACAGCUGU